CCAAAAAUAUCUCUACUCUCGGUGCCUCGCCAUUCUAUCUCCCACAAACUACUCUCAGUGCUUCAUUUCCUCUGAGAACCGCACACCGUUCUUCUUCUUCUUCUUCUCACAUCUCCAUCAUUCCUUCUUCUUCUUCUUCUUCUUCUUCUUCUUCUUCUUCUUCUUCUUUAUUUCAUCUUUUUUAUCGCUCAAAUCUCUUCCAAGUUUUCAUCUCAAUAUUAAUCGCAAUCUGAAUCCUUUUCUCGGACAAGCUAGUGCUAAUUUUGAUUGAAAUCUGAAUCCCGCUCUAGUCAUCAGCUACGAGUUCCUUAAUCUCCCUCUCAAUUCUGAUUCUUGUGCUCCCAAUUUGUGUUCUAUCGCAACCUGAUGCUUUUUCCCAAUUCUUUUUGGUUCAAUAUACAUUGCUGAAAUUCAAUUGUCACUGUUAUUCUGAAAUAUUUAUUUGAUAGGAUGAAUUAGGAUUAUUAGAAUACUAAAUUGAGCUUGGCAAUAUCUGGUUCCACUUUUAUGCUUCGAUCUUUAUAAAUAGGCAGAACAAUUAGACCAUUAAUUAACCCUGAACACCUCUGACACUUUGAUGCAUGCACAGAUCUGGAGCAGGGGUUUAGUGUUGGGAGUGGUGGUGUUUGCUCUUCAUAUUUGUCUCUGCAGACGAUGUUGUUGUGCUCACCGAAGAUAACUUUGAGAAGGAGGUUGGUCAGGACAGAGGAGCACUUGUUGAGUUCUACGCUCCUUGGUGUGGGCACUGUAAAAAGCUUGCCUCUAAAUAUGAAAAGCUCGGUUCUAGCUUUAAGAAAGCCAAAUUUAUUUUAAUUGGCAAGGGUUGUGGGUAGGAUGUUUGAGCAGUCAAGAUGUCAUUAGCAAUCUCUGCUAUAUCUAUAGGAUAGCAGGGAAACAAGAGAGCAUGAGGCUUACAGCAGGAUCAUGCUUAGUGCGCUUAGUUCGGUUUAACCCUCCUAGUAUUCAGUUGGUUGCGGAAAAAUUGUCAUUCAAGGACCUUGCUUCAUCCCUUGUCAAGGGUAGUCCAAGAGAGCAGCAAGUCAGCCUAAAUCUCCUUAACAUGGCAAUGCUUGGAAGUUACGUGUUGACAAAUAUUUGAAGAUACCUCAUACCUCUUGCAGAGGACAAAAAUUUGAUCCCAAGUCUUUUGUCUCUUGUUGAGCAGGGUAGUGAAAUUUUAAAAGGAAAGGCACUUUUCUUUGUGGCUCUAUUUUGUAAACAUGGUAGGAGGUGGCUUCCACACUUCUUAGCAGUUCAUUGUUUAAACACAAAGUGGUUACAAUUCACGUCCUACGGCAGCUGGCCAAUCUAAUUAAACUCAUUGAGACACCGUUUCAACGGCAAUGGUAAUGGCAACUACGAAGGUGGUAGUUUGUACAUUUUUGUGUUCAUACGAUACACUACGAAUGGAGGGCGUUGAAGGCUAUAACAGAAAUGAAUCGUAUGAGACUGAGAGGUAAAGUUGUGUUUGUCGGAGAAGCAAAAUACAAGAGAAUGUCGGAUAGAUGCAAAGGACACGAAGAAGACAGUUAGGAGGUGGCAACCGAAAUGAAAUGGUACAUUAACCGCAACAAGAACAAGCGAACGCCCAGAAAUCUUCAGCUAGCUGCUCUCAAUAUGGGAAAAAGGAUAAAAAAGACCAAGAUCCACAUGGGAAUGGGUGGACAAAGAAGUUGGAAGUGGUAGUGGUGAAAGAAAACUUAGACUGGCUGCAAAAAUAUCUAAUAGGUGGAACGACAACAGCUAAUAACUUUAAGUCCUUAAAGGAUAUAGUUGCGAAGAACUUGCCUCAAGUACGCGAAAUGGGAGCAUAUAAAGCUCUCUUGACUUUCAACAGACUGUUGAACGUUGAAAAGACAUACACGUUCAAAAUGAAUAGCCUACUACAGAUAUUUCAUAGUGUUUAGAGGUGGGACGAGUGGAAAAAAGUGAAUCUCGAAGAAUGUGUCUAAAGUGUUUUCGGAUUCCGUUACAUGCUUGGACAAUGGAUACUUUCAAGAUGAUGGGAGGUCAAUGAGGGGAGGUGGUUGGGUGUAAUAAAAUGACAAAAUCAUGUAUCUCAUCUAGUAUCAGACCUAUACUUAUUGAUACCUGUGUGGCUGUGCCAUGGAUGUGAUCGAUGAAUGGGUCCAUAUCACAAUAGGUACCAGUGGUUUCGACGUAUUGGUAAAAAAGGUGGGACGAGAACCAUAUGAUUUGCAAUGUGACCUGGAAAAUGUGGCGAAUGAUGCUGUAAGAUACAAUCAUUGUAAAGAUAAAAUAAUAAGGGAGUGUGAUGAUGUAGCUAUAAUGUCGAAAGGGCUAAGAAAUUUGAUAGAUUAUGGAUAUCAGGUAGCGAUAGUAAUUACGGAGGUGCUAUGGGAGGAGGUUGAAGAUGAAUAUAAAUUGGUAAAUUCAGAAUCAAUUUUGAAUGAGUGGAGUUAUGACCAUUCAAGGCUCCAUCAAAGAAAAUUGGUAAUGCAUCAAUCAAUUUAUGGUGAUAUUGAAGACUUAGCAUAUUUUGUGGGAUAUGAGGAGAUUAAUG